UACGGGGGGGGGCAAGCGUUGUUCGGAAUUACUGGGCGUAAAGGGCUCGUAGGCGGCCAACUAAGUCGGAUGUGAAAUCCCCAGGCUCAACCUGGGAACUGCAUCCGAUACUGGAUGGCUUGAAUCCGGGAGAGGGAUGCAGAAUUCCUGGUGUAGCGGUGGAAUGCGCAGAUAUCAGGAGGAACACCGGUGGCGAAGGCGGGUCUCUGGGCAGUAACUGACGCUGAGGAGCGAAAGCAUGGGGAGCGAACAGG
rnacentral:rRNA from 1 species